rnacentral:rRNA from 1 species
GGUCAAGCGAAUAAGCGCACACGGUGGAUGCCUAGGCGGUCAGAGGCGAUGAAGGACGUGGUAGCCUGCGAAAAGUGUCGGGGAGCUGGCAACAAGCUUUGAUCCGGCAAUAUCCGAAUGGGGAAACCCACUGCUUCGGCAGUAUCUUGCAGUGAAUUCAUAGCUGCUUGAAGCGAACCCGGUGAACUGAAAUAUCUAAGUAACCGGAGGAAAAGAAAUCAACCGAGAUUCCCUGAGUAGUGACGAGCGAACGGGGAACAGCCCUUAAGCUGGAAUGGCUUUAGAAAAACAAUCUGGAAAGAUUGGCCAUAGAAGGUGAUAGCCCUGUAUUUAAAAGGGCCACUCCAGUGAAGACGAGUAGGGCGGGGCACGUGAAACCCUGUCUGAAUAUGGGGGGACCAUCCUCCAAGGCUAAAUACUCCUGACCGACCGAUAGUGAACCAGUACCGUGAGGGAAAGGCGAAAAGAACCCCGGAGAGGGGAGUGAAAUAGAUCCUGAAACCGUGUGCGUACAAGCAGUAGGAGCUCGCAAGAGUGACUGCGUACCUUUUGUAUAAUGGGUCAGCGACUUACUGUUCGUGGCAAGCUUAACCGUAUAGGGGAGGCGAAGGGAAACCGAGUCUGAUAAGGGCGCAUAGUCGCGGGCAGUAGACCCGAAACCGGGUGAUCUAGUCAUGGCCAGGGUGAAGGUGCCGUAACAGGUACUGGAGGCCCGAACCCACGUCUGUUGCAAAAGACGGGGAUGAGCUGUGAUUAGGAGUGAAAAGCUAAUCGAACCCGGAGAUAGCUGGUUCUCCUCGAAAGCUAUUUAGGUAGCGCCUCGGACGAAUACUACUGGGGGUAGAGCACUGUUAUGGCUAGGGGGUCAUCGCGACUUACCAAACCAUUGCAAACUCCGAAUACCAGUACGUACUAUCCGGGAGACACACGGCGGGUGCUAACGUCCGUCGUGAAAAGGGAAACAACCCAGACCCACAGCUAAGGUCCCAAAUUCACUGCUAAGUGGAAAACGAUGUGGAAAGGCAUAGACAGCCAGGAGGUUGGCUUAGAAGCAGCCACCCUUUAAAGAAAGCGUAAUAGCUCACUGGUCGAGUCGGUCUGCGCGGAAGAUUUAACGGGGCUAAGCAGUGAACCGAAGCUUGGGGUGUGUAAAACUUCGGUUUUAUGCGCGGUAGAGGAGCGUUCCGUAAGCCUGCGAAGGUGGAUUGAGAAGUCUGCUGGAGGUAUCGGAAGUGCGAAUGCUGACAUGAGUAACGAUAAUGCGGGUGAAAAGCCCGCACGCCGAAAGCCCAAGGUUUCCUUGCGCAACGUUAAUCGACGCAGGGUUAGUCGGUCCCUAAGGCGAGGGCGAAAGCCGUAGUCGAUGGGAAGCAGGUUAAUAUUCCUGCACCUCGCGUGAGUGCGAUGGAGGGACGGAGAAGGUUAGGUGUACCGGGCGUUGGUUGUCCCGGGGAAAGGCGGUAGGUUUGGAUCUUUGGCAAAUCCGGGAUCCUUUAAGACCGAGCACCGAGACGAGCCUUUAUGGCGAAGUCACUGAUACCACGCUUCCAGGAAAAGCUCCUAAGCUUCAGCUCACGAAGACCGUACCGUAAACCGACACAGGUGGGUAGGAUGAGAAUUCUCAGGCGCUUGAGAGAACUCGGGUGAAGGAACUAGGCAACAUGGCACCGUAACUUCGGGAGAAGGUGCACCCUUUUUGGUGGCUCAUGCGAGCUAUAGCUGAAGAGGGUCGCAGAAACCAGGCCGCUGCGACUGUUUAUCAAAAACACAGCACUCUGCAAACACGAAAGUGGACGUAUAGGGUGUGACGCCUGCCCGGUGCUGGAAGGUUAAUUGAUGGGGUCAGCCGCAAGGCGAAGCUCUUGAUCGAAGCCCCAGUAAACGGCGGCCGUAACUAUAACGGUCCUAAGGUAGCGAAAUUCCUUGUCGGGUAAGUUCCGACCUGCACGAAUGGCGUAACGACAGCGGCGCUGUCUCCACCCGAGACUCAGUGAAAUUGAAAUCGCUGUGAAGAUGCAGCGUUCCCGUGGCAAGACGGAAAGACCCCGUGAACCUUUACUAUAGCUUUACACUGAACGUUGAGUUCGUCUGUGUAGGAUAGGUGGGAGGCUAUGAAACUGUGGCGCUAGCUGCAGUGGAGCCAACCUUGAAAUACCACCCUGUCGUGCUUGACGUUCUAACCUAGAUCCGUUAUCCGGAUCAGGGACCGUGUAUGGUGGGUAGUUUGACUGGGGCGGUCUCCUCCUAAAGAGUAACGGAGGAGCACGAAGGUACGCUCAGCGCGGUCGGACAUCGCGCACUGUGUGCAAAGGCAUAAGCGUGCUUGACUGCAAGAUCGACGGAUCAAGCAGGUACGAAAGUAGGUCUUAGUGAUCCGGUGGUUCUGUAUGGAAGGGCCAUCGCUCAACGGAUAAAAGGUACUCCGGGGAUAACAGGCUGAUACCGCCCAAGAGUUCAUAUCGACGGCGGUGUUUGGCACCUCGAUGUCGGCUCAUCACAUCCUGGGGCUGUAGUCGGUCCCAAGGGUAUGGCUGUUCGCCAUUUAAAGUGGUACGCGAGCUGGGUUCAGAACGUCGUGAGACAGUUCGGUCCCUAUCUGCCAUGGGCGUUGGAAGUUUGAGAGGGGCUGCUCCUAGUACGAGAGGACCGGAGUGGACGAACCUCUGGUGUUCCGGUUGUCACGCCAGUGGCAUUGCCGGGUAGCUAUGUUCGGAAGCGAUAACCGCUGAAAGCAUCUAAGCGGGAAGCGCGCCUCAAGAUGAGACUUCCCGGGGCACAAGCCCCCUAAAGGAACCAUAUAGACUAUGUGGUUGAUAGGUCAGGUGUGUAAGUACAGCAAUGUAUUGAGCUAACUGAUACUAAUGAUCCGUGCGGCUUGACCAU